UACGAAGGGGGCGAGCGUUGUUCGGAAUUACUGGGCGUAAAGGGCGCGCAGGCGGCCGAGGAAGUCAGGCGUGAAAGCCCCGGGCUCAACCCGGGAACUGCGUUUGAUACUCUUUGGCUGGAGUACGGGAGAGGAGAGUGGAAUUCCCAGUGUAGAGGUGAAAUUCGUAGAUAUUGGGAAGAACACCGGUGGCGAAGGCGGCUCUCUGGACCGUAACUGACGCUGAGGCGCGAAAGCGUGGGGAGCAAACAGG
rnacentral:rRNA from 1 species